rnacentral:lncRNA from 1 species
UAAAAACUAAUUAAAAAAAUAAAAGAAAUAAUUACAUUGUGGAAGUUAAUUAAUUUUAAAAAAAGAAAAAAAACUAAAUUGAACUGAAUAUGAAAAAUCUGGGGGAAAAUCUGCAAAUAAAUAAAACCCAAAGGAUUAAAUUGAACACGCGAAUUAUAUAGAGGGGCUGGAAGGGAAAUUUUCUCCUCUCCCCUAAAACGGCGUCAUUCCAGCGGGGCUAAAUUGAAAUUGAAAGCCAAUAAAAGGGCUAAUUCUAAAAAGAUAAAAAAAACUAAUUGUAAAACAUUAAAAAUGUGCGAAUAACUCAUAGGGCUCGAAUGGGAAAAUAUCUCCAUCCUUUGAAAAGCGUCACUUUAUUAGGGCUAAAUAAAAUAAAUAAAUAAAAUUCGCAGCGGUAUCACCUUCUCCCUUUUUUAAAAUCGUAAAUAAGUAAAAAAUAAUCGAAAAAGAAAAAAAAACAGUAAGCCACCUUUAAAAAAAUGCCAAUCGUUC